GGGGAUGUUCUGUUCGACAAGGUCAAAGAGGUUCAGUAUGCAGGCCGAGGUCCGGUUCCUCGUGAAACUUCCGGGGCACAUUAUCUGCCAACGUCUUUAGCCCCCAAAGGGCAUACGCCUACGCUUAAUCGCUAGGCCGUCACAAUCCUGACUCCUGAUACGGAUUUUGGCGCCAACCAUCAGGAUAGGAAAGGGUGCGGGCGGCUUGGAUCCUUUCUGAACUCUUAGGCCGCGCAGGAAAAAGGCUUUUGCCCAAUAGAACCUUUUUCCUUACCCAAUUGGGCUGAGCCUGGAGUAUUGCUGUUCUGACAUGAUCUUGGACGCGGGUCGUUCCCGCCAUCUCCACCU
rnacentral:tmRNA from 1 species